rnacentral:rRNA from 1 species
AACAGGAUUAGAUACCCUGGUAGUCCACGCUGUAAACGAUGGGCACUAGGUGUGGGGGGUGUCGACUCCCUCCGUGCCGACGCUAACGCAUUAAGUGCCCCGCCUGGGGAGUACGGCCGCAAGGCUAAAACUCAAAGGAAUUGACGGGGGCCCGCACAAGCAGCGGAGCAUGUGGUUUAAUUCGACGCAACGCGGAGAACCUUACCUGGGCUUGACAUGUUUCUGACCGCCGUGGAAACACGGCUUCCCUUCGGGGCAGAAUCACAGGUGGUGCAUGGCUGUCGUCAGCUCGUGUCGUGAGAUGUUGGGUUAAGUCCCGCAACGAGCGCAACCCCCGUCGCAUGUUGCCAGCAUUUAGUUGGGGACUCAUGCGAGACUGCCGGUGACAAACCGGAGGAAGGUGGGGAUGACGUCAAGUCCUCAUGCCCCUUAUGUCCAGGGCUACACACGUGCUACAUUGGCGCGUACAGAGGGUAGCGAUACCGCGAGGUGGAGCGAAUCCCUUAAAGCGCGUCUCGGUUCGGAUUGCAGGCUGAAACUCGCCUGCAUGAAGGCGGAGUUGCUAGUAAUCGCGGAUCAGCAUUGCCGCGGUGAAUACGUUCCCGGGCCUUGUACACACCGCCCGUCACACCACGGGAGUGAGCAACACCCGAAGCCGGUGGCCUAACCCUUUUGGGAUGGAGCCGUCGAAGGUGGGGCUCGUGACUGGGGUGAAGUCGUAACAAGGUAACCGUA